rnacentral:lncRNA from 1 species
UACUUAUGUCGUGAGAAGGGUCACUUAGCUUGUUCUUGCACGAGAGGUAAUUUAUCAAACCCAAUCAUUAUUGAUUAUAACUAUUCUCUUGGGAAGGAUAAGGUUGGCAUUGUGUUUGUCAAGUUUGUUAGUACUCAAAGUGGUGUCAAGAAAGGUACCAUUUGGGUUGCCAGGCUUAUUGUGACUAACCUCUUAGGACCCAACUUGUUUGGGGACCAACAAGCUCAAACUUGAUCAAUAGGUGAUGGUGGAGGACAUUGGAGACUUGGCUACAUGAUGAAGAAUUAAGGGGUCUUCAUCAUUCAUCCUGUCUCAAGCCAAGUCAUUUGGAUUAUCGAGUUUCUAUCUUAUAUCUAAUAUGCCUCCUUGCGGUAAUUGAACUUAAAUUGUUUACAUUGUUAGUUACUUGCCCAUUUGCAUGUUGUGGUUUUGUACCUUGCAUGUGUUUGUACAUGUUGCGCUUCCAACUUGCUUAUCUUGAUUAAUCAAGUAUGUGUAUAUUGGUUUGCACAUCAUGUACAUGUGAGUCUUGUAUUGAGCCUUUUUGCAUCUUGUUUGUAUCAUUGUUGGCUCUUUCGAGAGAUUAAUGGAUUAUCCCAUUUUGGGGGAGUGAUGUGCUUUGCGCGCCUCACAAUCCUAUAAAUGUGUAUACAUGAGUAAUACCACUUAGUAUUGGUAUUACAAGUUUAUCUAGUCUCUAUGUGGUAUGCCCUACUCAUAAUAAAUUUAAAUUCUAAAUGGUCCAUUAAUUAUCUCUUGUUGGUUUUCAUUUGCCACUUGUUAAUAAAUGUUGGGUUAUCACAUUAUGUGGGAGUAAUAUGCUAUGUGCAUAUUACAAGCCUAGAAAAUGUGUAUAUUUGAGGUAUUGCCACUUAGUGUUGAUAUUGUAAAUUAUCUUGUUCCUAGGUGGCAUGUUAGCUCUACAAGUGUCAUUUGCUUUUGUUUUUGGUGUAAAUAUGAUGUUGGACAUUUUUGCAAUCUACCAAUUGGAAUUAUUUCCAAAUACUUCUUGUCCUUGACAAUUGGUAUUUCCUUCAUGUGGUAGAAUUUGCUAAUCAGCUUUACAUUGGACCUUUUAAACAUGUAUAGUGCUUCUAUAGAUAUAGAUAAAGUGAUGAUCCCGUCUUGUGCAUUCUUAUUCAAGUGCAAAUUCUAUAUAAUGCACAUCUUUUGGGGGAGCUAUCCUAUUUUCUUUAGAACACUCCUUCUAUGUGUUCAUCAGAAAAUGUUUUGAUCCCCAUCAAUUGUGUGUUGGUGGUAGGCAAGUCCUUUUCUUUAUGGUGCUUUGUGCCAUCGUGAAAAUUUAUCAAAGUUUGGUUUGUUUGGAACCUAGCUAUCUUUUGGAAACUCGAUACAUCGUGUUUGUUUUCCUUCAAUUGGUAUCAUGUUUCUCUUUAUUUGUCAUGUGACAAUGGAUAUCUCAUUCCUUGAUGUAUUUUUUUAAUUGGUAUCCUUCAAGUGAUAAUUUUUGUUUGUUCUCUUAUUAUCACUUGAUACCUUGUCUUUUGGUGUCUUAUCAACUAUGUGUUGAUUUCAUUCUUGAAAGACUUGAGCAUGCAUAUUUACUAUAUAUAGGUUAUUUGGCAUGCUUUCUUUCUUUGACCCAAUAUAUAGGAGAAACUCCACCAUGUCAUAAAUUGGCUAAAGUGUGUAUGAAAUUUAAUUUCAUAUCCAUAUGCACAUAUUUAUGUGGAGUUUGUCCUAUGUAUUGUUGGUUUUCUAACUCUUUGUUCCCAAUGAGUUUGGGGCCCAUUUUGUUUGUGUUGUGGUUCUAGGAACAAUUGGAGAUGCAUUGGAUGCUUGGCUCACCUACAAGGAAGGUGUUGACACCAUGUGCUUAUUGAAGCCAAGCUAGGAUGAUCGAUGAACCAUUAUCUACUACAUCAAUCCAUAUGUUGUCUCGGUAACAAGUAUCUACUUCAUGCUUACAUUUCUUGCAUUCAACCUUUCGUAGGUUGCAUCGUGGCAUGAAUUUCUUGAUUCAUUCUUGUGGUACUUGUUUCCUCUCUCAAAGCAUCGCAACGAUGAUGUAUUUUUCUAGUUGCGAUGUCUUUGAUGUUCGUGAAUUGGAAGUUCAUUUAUGUAUAAUAAGAAAAUAUUAGGCCAUGUGCUUUGCUUCCAAGUAAAGAUCUUAUUGGUAUAUUUAUGACUUCCUUAUGGAUAUCUUGUUUGUUCCUUCUUAUAACUAUUUCGUGUGUACAUCCUUCUUUGUGGAUAUAUAUCAUAAUUAUUGUAUUCUACCUAGAAUCCUUUACACAUGAGAGAAAUUACAUCUCUAAUUGAUAUCCUCUUUUCUUUCACGUCCACUAUUGCAUUUCAUUUUUCAGUUUUUGGUAGUUUCGUGAAUGGAUUUGUCUUGAUUGCGGAUUGUAUAUCACUGCACUCAUUGGUGGUGAAAUUAUUUUUCUCCGCAUGCUUGUCUUGACGAGGGUUUUGCCACUUUGAUUGGUCUCCCUCCUCUUGACAAGGUUAUCAUUUCCUAUCUUCACCAUGGGUUGUCACAACCGUUGGUUCUUAAUUUGUUUAUUAGUAAGCUUGUGAACACAUUUGCUAGUAGUGUGUGUGGUAAGGAUAUGUCUUGCACUCUGUGUCUCAUUUCAUCAAGACUAUGUUGAUGAGUAAUGAUCAUCCUUAUCUUAGUCCUCUCAAGUGCUUUGCCAUGACUCACACACAUCAUUUUGGUUGAGCCUAUUCUUAAGUUGCCUCUUUUACAUGCUUCUCAACCAUAUGUUUUGUGCAAGUGAUAUGCUUAUUGUCUUAUGUAAUUGCUUGCACUUGCUGUGUGUUUUUAUUAAUUUUGGGGGAGCAACAAUCCUAUUUUGUGCACUUGCAAAUACAAUAAAUUCUUAUUAGUGCACAAAUCAUGGGGAGCUUCUUUAGUUUUGAUAGAACACUCUUUUGCCCAUAUCAUAAUAUCAUUUAUUCACGUGGAUCGAAGGACCGUGUGAUUGUUUGUUCCAAUUGGUAUCUUUUGAUUUCUUGCUUGCUUCUCUCUUUUGUAUGUCCUUGUGCCAUACGAUCCUUCUUGCAAUCUUUAGGUCCUCAAUAUAGUUCGUUUUUCUCCAACUAAUUAGCAUUGUGCAUUUGUAUUUCUUUGCACUCUUUUGUCAAGAAGUACACAUUUUAUAGAGGACCACCUAUUAUAUUGGAUUUCUAAAUUUUUUGUCCAUUUUGGCAAUCGAGCCAAUGGGGGAGAAGCUUAGAGAGUUUAGUUUGUAGAUGUUUAGAGAGUUUUGCUUUUAUUGCUUAAGCAUUUGCAUCUUGAACCCAUGCAUUAUUUCUUUGCAUGUGUGUGCUUGGUUAUGCUUAUUUCUUUAUAUAAACUCUCUUGUAGUGAUUGUCGUCAAUUACCAAAAUGGGGGAGAUUGUUACAGCAUAUUUCUCCGUAUGUGGUUUUGGUAAUUGAUGACAAUCCCUAUGGACUAAUGGUUGCCUUAAGUUAUAUUCGAAGGAUUUGUCCAUAGGCACUUCUUGAAGUCCAUUUGUUGCUUUCAAGGAAUUUAUAUGAUGACCAAGGUGGUAUUCAAGGUAUUAUCCAAAGAAUGGUCAUAAAUACACAAGGUUGAUCAAUACUAAUUUAAAGAGUAAAUCAAGUUGAUCAACGCACAAAGCUUACAAGAUGUACCGAGAGGGAUCAAGUGAUCCCAUGGUAUGGUAAGCAUUGUCCAUUACGCUUUUGUGUACUAAUCCAUGGUCUUCGUGAGAGUUAUGUGUGGGGUUAGGUGUGUUUCCAUGGGCUUGAGUCAAGAGGAAGAUCUCAUACAACCCAUGAAGGAUGACGUCAAGUGAUCGUCAUUAAGAUUGCGGUGUGCAAGUUCAAGUGGAGCAUCACGAAGAUAUCUUGCUUGCAGCUUGUCGUCCUUUGUGGUGGCAAAGGACUUGUUAAGAUGUACUGGAGAGUGGCUCACCCAUAGUGGAGUACGGGGGAGCAAUUUACAAGUCUUCAUCGAGCCAGUGCAAUCAAGAAAGGUGGUCCAUCUUAAGGAAGUUAAGAUCGUCAUCAUCUAGCUCAAGUGGACUUGGAAAAGAUUCAUGAAGGGAUGUCCACACUCAACAAUGUAUUGUGUGGGAAAAAAUCCCCAAAUGACAAAGAUGGACUUGGAUUCAACUCCAACAAGAUGAAGAAGUCCAAAAGCUUAAAGAAGAAGGGCCAAGAACAAGUCAAGAACUCGGCCAAGAUUGUUUGCUUCAAGUGCAAAAUUGAAGGGGCCCAUGUUAGAUCUUCCAUUUAAAGAACAAGCCCCAAAGUCACAAGCAACAAGGGAAGCGGACACAAAUUCAAUCACAUACUCAACUACAAGCUGAAGAAAGGCAUCUUCCCAAGAAGACCCAAGCCAACACUCCUCAAGUUGAGAAAUCAAUUGGGAAAAAAGGUAAAUGGUAGAUGUUGCUACUUAUGUCGUGAGAAGGGUCACUUCACUUCUUCUUGCACGAGAGGUAAUUUAUCCAACCCAAUCAUUAUUGAUGAUAUCUAUUCUAUUGAGAAGGAUAAGGUUGGCAUUGUGUUUGCCAAGUUUACUGGUACUCAAAGUGGUGUCAAAAAAAGUACCAUUUGGGUUGCCAAGCCUAUUGUGACUAACCUCUUAGGACCCAACUUGUUUGGGGACCAACAAGCUCAAACUUGAUCAAUAGGUGAUGGUGGAGGACAUUGGAGACUUGGCUACAUAAUGAAGAAUUAAGGGGUCUACAUCA